CAGGUGGUGCAUGGCUGUCGUCAGCUCGUGUCGUGAGAUGUUGGGUUAAGUCCCGCAACGAGCGCAACCCUUGUCUUAUGUUGCCAGGUCGUAAUGGUGGGGACUCGUAAGAGACUGCCGGGGUCAACUCGGAGGAAGGUGGGGACGACGUCAAGUCAUCAUGCCCCUUAUGUCCAGGGCUUCACACAUGCUACAAUGGCCAGUACAGAGGGCUGCGAUACCGCGAGGUGGAGCGAAUCCCUUAAAGCUGGUCUCAGUUCGGAUUGGGGUCUGCAACUCGACCCCAUGAAGUCGGAGUCGCUAGUAAUCGCAGAUCAGCAACGCUGCGGUGAAUACGUUCCCGGGCCUUGUACACACCGCCCGUCACGUCAUGAAAGUCGGUAACACCCGAAGCCGGUGGCCUAACCCUUGUGGAGGGAGCCGUCGAAGGUGGGAUCGGCGAUUGGGACG
rnacentral:rRNA from 1 species